GAUGAACGCUGGCGGCAUGCCUAAUACAUGCAAGUCGAACGAGAGGAAGGAAAGCUUGCUUUCCUGAAUCUAGUGGCGAACGGGUGAGUAACACGUAGGUAACCUGCCCAUGUGCCCGGGAUAACUUCUGGAAACGGAUGCUAAAACCGGAUAGGUAGCAGACAAGCAUUUGACUGCUAUUAAAGUGGCCUUGGCCAUGAACAUGGAUGGACCUGCGGUGCAUUAGCUGGUUGGUGAGGUAACGGCCCACCAAGGCGACGAUGCAUAGCCGGCCUGAGAGGGCGGACGGCCACAUUGGGACUGAGACACGGCCCAAACUCCUACGGGAGGCAGCAGUAGGGAAUUUUCGUCAAUGGGGGGAACCCUGAACGAGCAAUGCCGCGUGAGUGAGGAAGGUCUUCGGAUCGUAAAGCUCUGUUGUAAGAGAAAAACGGCACUCAUAG
rnacentral:rRNA from 1 species